rnacentral:misc_RNA from 1 species
UUCAUAUAAUACUACAGUAUGGCUUGUAAAAUACUGUUUGUCGAACGAUGCUUGCUGCCUAUAUACAUUAAUGUAUGUAUAUACAUAUAUAUAUAUGUGUGCAAUCCUCGUUUUAGAUAAGAAUAAUAUUGCAACAUGUGCUUUGUUGGGGGGAGGAUCGCUUGUCCACUUAUCCGUCUCCCAUCAUUGUACACGAAUGUCAUAACACACACACAUAUAUAUAUAUAUCGUUGUUACUGUGAAAUGCAUUUAGCGAGAAUUGAAAUGCUUUUACAGGGCUAGCGCGUAUGCGCACGACAACGGUAGAUGUCUAUGUCAUUUGCAA